rnacentral:rRNA from 1 species
CGUGCGUAGUUGAUGCUCAGGGGCCGCACCUAUGGUAAGCACCCUCCGGGGUGGACUGCCGGUCGGCGCCCUAAUGGCCGUGGGCUCCGGCUCCGGUCACCAAUACCUCGAACAAAUGAGAGCGCAUGAGGCAGGCACAUGUUGCCGGAAUCUAUUAGCAUGGAAUAACACAUGGACCGCAGCGUCUUGUUGUUGGUUAAAGACGAUGCAGUAAUGAUUAACAGGGGUACUCGGGGCCAACCGUACUCUGGGGCUAGGGGUGAAAUCCUGUGACCCUCAGAAGACGACCUAAUGCGAAAGCAGUUGGCUAGGGUACUUUCAUUGAUCAAGCACGAAGGGUGGGGGAGCAAAGACGAUUAGACACCGUUGUAGUCCCACCAGUAAACGAUGUCGACGCGAUCACGGGUGUCUGUGUUAGCAGCGCUCGGGAGCGUAUAGAAAUUAGAGUCUUUGGACUCUGGGGGGAGUAUGGUCGCAAGUCUGAAACUUAAAGGAAUUGACGGAAGGGCACAACCAGGCGUGGAGCCUGCGGCUUAAUUUGACUCAACACGGGGAAGCUCACCAGGGCAGGACAUGAUUAGGAUUGACAGACAUGACAGAUCUUUCAUGAUCUCAUGGGUGGUGGUGCAUGGCCGUUCUUAGUUCGUGGGGUGACUUGUCUGGUUGAUUCCGAUAACGAGCGAGACCGAGACCCAAGGUUGGCGCCGUUUCCCUCAUGUUCUUUUGGGCUUCGAGGGCGGCGCUCUUCUUGCGCCUUGGGGACCGGCGCCCGGUUAAGGGCGUGGAGGUGCUUGGCAAUAACAGGUCUGUGAUGCCCUUAGAUGUCCUGGGCCGCACGCGCGCUACACUGAUGCAGACAAUGGGCAUUUGCCUAUCCCGAGAGGGCUGGGUAAUCCUGUGAGGCUGCAUCGUGCUGGGGAUCGAGCACUGGAACUGUGCUCGUGAACAU